GGAUGUGAGGGUGAUCUGGCUGAGACAUCUAUCACAUCAUUGAAAGCCAAGUUUGAUUCAGCUGAUCUGGCUACGUGUACAUCCCUCCAGAAGCUGCUCUCAGUCUAAGAAGGACAUCUUCAGUGGAGAGUAUGCAAGUAGCUGGGCUCCCCUGCUAGAAACUUCAAACAAGCUCUCAAGGUUCAAAGUUCUUAUAACAGUGUACAAAUAAUAUCAAAAUACAAAUAACUAUAACUAUAAUGAAAGCAAAAUAAUCCCUAGUUCCUCUUCUUUGUCUAU
rnacentral:snRNA from 1 species